UAAUACGUAGGGGUCGAGCGUUGUCCGGAGUUACUGGGCGUAAAGCGCAUGCAGGCGGCUCAUUACGCAUGGCGUGAAAGCCCCCGGCUCAACCGGGGAGGGUCGUCGUGAACGGGUGAGCUUGAGGGUAUCAGGGGCUGGUGGAAUUCCCGGUGUAGUGGUGAAAUGCGUAGAGAUCGGGAGGAACACCUGUGGCGAAGGCGGCCAGCUGGGAUACACCUGACGCUGAGAUGCGAAGGCGUGGGGAGCGAACGGG
rnacentral:rRNA from 1 species